rnacentral:rRNA from 1 species
AUGGAUAUGGAACACGAAAGACCCAAAAAAAUAGGUGUACUUGCUACUCAUGGAGAUGGGGAACCUCCUAAAACCCUCGAUGCUGGUUAUGUGAAAUCUAUUAUGUACUACUUUGAUAAUCCUGAGAAAACCCCAUUCAAUUAUGUUAUGGGAGACACGUUGGAUCAACGUGAAUACUUUAGGGAUUAUCACUUGACACAAAAAGGGAAACUAUUAUGGGAUCAAAUUCAUAUGUUACGUUGGUAUGCUAGGCAACUAUGCUUGAACUAUGAUAUUACUUGUUGCUCCAGGAUGAAGGCUCCACACCUUCCCUUUUCAUGCAAAUUUAAUGAUGAUAAAACCUUGGCUUCCUAUGCUAAUGGUAUAUAUGAUUACUAUGAUGUUGAUCAAAUUGAGGAAUUUGUUGCUUUUAAAGGUGCUUAUGAAAUUGAAUCUUUGUUUGAAAAAUAUGAAGCUUUAGAUGAUGAUGUUUAUAGGCCUGAAAAUUAUGCUAUAUUGAAAUAUUGUUAUGAAAAAUAUGAAUAUAACUACAAUAUUGAUGCAUUUAUUGAGAAAGUCUCCGUUGUCCAAGAAGAGACUAAUAUUUUGCAGGAAGCUAUGGAAGAAGAAAUUGAUGAAACUGUGAUCUCAAUUGGAUGA